rnacentral:lncRNA from 1 species
GUAUUCUUGUGGUGUCAUACAUCUUCAAGACAUUCUUGAAGGAAGGAUCAAAGGAGCAAUCUUCAUAAGGACUAAAGGACAAUCAUCAAAGGAGGUUAAACAAAUUCCACACAUGGAUUCAGGUUAGCUUCCGCCCAUGUAGUUUAAUUCCGAAUUGUUCAAUAUGAAGGUUGUUAUAUUUACUUGGAAUCAUAAUCCUAAC